UACGUAUGGAGCAAGCGUUAUCCGGAUUUACUGGGUGUAAAGGGUGCGUAGGCGGCAGGGCAAGUCAGAUGUGAAAGACCGGGGCUUAACUCCGGGGCUGCAUUUGAAACUUCUUUGCUUGAGUCCGGGAGAGGCAGGCGGAAUUCCUAGUGUAGCGGUGAAAUGCGUAGAUAUUAGGAGGAACACCAGUGGCGAAGGCGGCCUGCUGGACCGGAACUGACGCUGAGGCACGGAAGCCUGGGGA
rnacentral:rRNA from 1 species